rnacentral:rRNA from 1 species
GGGUGCGAUCAUACCAACAUUAAUGCACCAAAUCCCAUAAAAAAUCCAUAGUUAAGCGCUUUUGGGAUAGAGUAGUACUGGUAUGGGUGACCUCCCAAGAUGUCCUAGUGUUUCACCCU